CUUUGGAGGAGAGGAGGCAAAGAGAGAGCUGCCUGGGUCAAUCUGAGAGCUCAGCCAACUCCUCAGGUACUGGGGACUAGGAGACCCUGACAAUGCCAUAGCUCAGCUGGGCCCAGCCAGGUUACAAGCCCUUCCUUUGGGUCUGCACGAUGAAGAAGGCUUGAUGCUUGUGGACUGCGAUGUCCCAGCUUGACUCAUCAGUCCCAACCAAGUGGUCAACCAGAAGAUGAAAAGCCCUGCUCUACCAUGUACUCCCCACCGUGAUGGUCUGCCUCAGCACACACCCAGAAACCAUGGAGCCAAGCAUCCAUGGACUCGAACUUGUGAACCUGUGAGUCAAAGAAAUCCUUCCUUCUGGGUUAUUUUCUCAGGUGUUUUUUGUUUGUUUGUUUGUUUGUUUUUGUGGUGACAGAGAUGGCUCAGU